AUUGAACGCUGGCGGCAGGCCUAACACAUGCAAGUCGAGCGGAUGACGGGAGCUUGCUCCUAGAUUCAGCGGCGGACGGGUGAGUAAUGCCUAGGAAUCUGCCUGGUAGUGGGGGACAACGUUUCGAAAGGAACGCUAAUACCGCAUACGUCCUACGGGAGAAAGCAGGGGACCUUCGGGCCUUGCGCUAUCAGAUGAGCCCAGGUCGGAUUAGCUAGUUGGUGAGGUAAAGGCUCACCAAGGCGACGAUCCGUAACUGGUCUGAGAGGAUGAUCAGUCACACUGGAACGGAGACACGGUCCAGACUCCUACGGGAGGCAGCAGUGGGGAAUAUUGGACAAUGGGCGAAAGCCUGAUCCAGCCAUGCCGCGUGUGUGAAGAAGGUCUUCGGAUUGUAAAGCACUUUAAGUUGGGAGGAAGGGCAGUAAGUUAAUACCUUGCUGUUUUGACGUUACCGACAGAAUAAGCACCGGCUAACUUCGUGCCAGCCGCCGCCGUAAUAC
rnacentral:rRNA from 1 species